CCUACGGGAGGCAGCAGUGGGGAAUAUUGCACAAUGGGGGAAACCCUGAUGCAGCGACGCCGCGUGAGUGAAGAAGUAAUUCGUGAUGUAAAGCCUUAUCAUCAGGGAAGAAAAUGACGGUACCUGUGAAAGAAGCCCCGGCUAACUACGUGCCAGCAGCCGCGGUAAUACGGAGGGGGCAAGCGUUAUCCGGAUUUACUGGGUGUAAAGGGUGCGUAGACGGCAGUGCAAGUCUGGGGUGAAAGCCCGGGGCUCAACCCCGGGUCUGCUCUGGAAACUGUCCGGCUGGAGUGCGGUAGAGGUAAAUGGAAUUCCUGGUGUAGCGGUGAAAUGCGUAGAUAUUAGGAGGAACACCGGUGGCGAAGGCGGCUUACUGGACUAUGACUGACGUUGAGGCACGAAAGCGUGGGGAGCAAACAGGAUUAGAUACCCUAGUAGUC
rnacentral:rRNA from 1 species